rnacentral:tRNA from 1 species
GGGCCCUUAGCUCAGCUGGUUUAGAGCACCUGUCUUACAAACAGGGGGUCGAUGGUUCGAAUCCAUCAGGGCCCA